UACGGGGGGAGCAAGCGUUGUUCGGAUUUACUGGGCGUGAAGGGCGCGUAGGCGGUCAGCACAAGUCAGUUGUGAAAUCUCCGGGCUUAACCCGGAAAGGUCAACUGAUACUGUGCGACUAGAGUGCGGAAGGGGCAACUGGAAUUCUCGGUGUAGCGGUGAAAUGCGUAGAUAUCGAGAGGAACACCUGCGGCGAAGGCGGGUUGCUGGGCCGACACUGACGCUGAUGCGCGAAAGCCAGGGGAGCGAACGGG
rnacentral:rRNA from 1 species